rnacentral:rRNA from 1 species
UGGGGAAUCAUAGACAAUGGGGGCAACCCUGAUCUUGCCAUGCCGCGUGAGCGAUGAAGGCCCUAGGGUUGUAAAGCUCUUUCACCCGUGACGAUAAUGACGGUAGCGGGAGAAGAAGCCCCGGCUAACUCCGUGCCAGCAGCCGCGGUAAUACGGAGGGGGCUAGCGUUGUUCGGAAUUACUGGGCGUAAAGCGCACGUAGGCGGACCGGAAAGUUGGGGGUGAAAUCCCGGGGCUCAACCCCGGAACUGCCCUCAAAACUGUCGGUCUGGAGUCCGAGAGAGGUGAGUGGAAUUCCGAGUGUAGAGGUGAAAUUCGUAGAUAUUCGGAAGAACACCAGUGGCGAAGGCGGCUCACUGGCUCGGUACUGACGCUGAGGUGCGAAAGCGUGGGGAGCAAACA